UCUAACACAUGCAAGUCGAACGAGAAGCUUGGCUUCGGCCAAGUGGAAAGUGGCAGACGGGUGAGUAACGCGUGGGAACGUACCCUUUGGUUCGGAACAACUCCGGGAAACUGGAGCUAAUACCGGAUGUGCCCUUCGGGGGAAAGAUUUAUCGCCAAGGGAUCGGCCCGCGUCGGAUUAGCUUGUUGGUGGGGUAACGGCCUACCAAGGCUAUGAUCCGUAGCUGGUCUGAGAGGAUGAUCAGCCACACUGGGACUGAGACACGGCCCAGACUCCUACGGGAGGCAGCAGUGGGGAAUAUUGGACAAUGGGCGCAAGCCUGAUCCAGCCAUGCCGCGUGAGUGAUGAAGGCCCUAGGGUUGUAAAGCUCUUUCGCCAGGGGCGAUAAUGACGGUACCUGGAUAAGAAGCCCCGGCUAACUUCGUGCCAGCAGCCGCGGUAAUACGAAGGGGGCUAGCGUUGUUCGGAAUUACUGGGCGUAAAGCGCAUGCAGGCGGAUCGCUAAGUCGGGGGUGAAAGCCCGAGGCUCAACCUCGGAACUGCCUUCGAUACUGGCGAUCUCGAGUCCGGGAGAGGUGAGUGGAACUCCGAGUGUAGAGG
rnacentral:rRNA from 1 species